rnacentral:rRNA from 1 species
CGAGUGGCGAACGGGUGAGUAAUAUAUCGGAACAUGUCCGGAAGUGGGGGAUAACGUACCGAAAGGUACGCUAAUACCGCAUAUGCCCUGAGGGGGAAAGGGGGGGAUCGCAAGACCUCUCGCUUUCGGAGUGGCCGAUAUCGGAUUAGCUAGUAGGUGAGGUAAAGGCUUACAUAGGCGACGAUCCGUAGCUGGUCUGAGAGGACGGCCAGCCACACUGGGACUGAGACACGGCCCAGACUCCUACGGGAGGCAGCAGUGGGGAAUUUUGGACAAUGGGCGCAAGCCUGAUCCAGCCAUGCCGCGUGAGUGAAGAAGGCCUUCGGGUUGUAAAGCUCUUUCAGCUGGAAAGAAAACGUACUUAUUAAUACUAGGUGCGGAUGACGGUACCAGCAGAAGAAGCACCGGCUAACUACGUGCCAGCAGCCGCGGUACAUACGUAGGGUGCGAGCGUUAAUCGGAAUUACUGGGCGUAAAGCGUGCGCAGGCGGCUUUUUAAGCCAGAUGUGAAAUCCCCGGGCUUAACCUGGGAACUGCAUUUGGAACUGGAAGGCUAGAGUGUAGCAGAGGGGGGUAGAAUCCACGUGUAGCAGUGAAAUGCGUAGAGAUGUGGAGGAAUACCGAUGGCGAAGGCAGCCCCCUGGGCUAACACUGACGCUCAUGCACGAAAGCGUGGGGAGCAAACAGGAUUAGAUACCCUGGUAGUCCACGCCCUAAACGAUGUCAACUAGGUGUUGGGGAAGGAGACUUCUUUAGUACCGCAGCUAACGCGUGGAGUUGACCGCCUGGGGAGUACGGUCGCAAGAUUAAAACUCAAAGGAAUUGACGGGGACCCGCACAAGCGGUGGAUUAUGUGGAUUAAUUCGAUGCAACGCGAAAAACCUUACCUACCCUUGACAUGUCAGGAAGUUUCCAGAGAUGGAUUCGUGCCCGAAAGGGAACCUGAACACAGGUGCUGCAUGGCUGUCGCCAGCUCGUGUCGUGAGAUGUUGGGUUAAGUCCCGCAACGAGCGCAACCCUUGCCAAUAAUUGCCAUCAUUCAGUUGGGCACUUUAUUGGGAC